rnacentral:tRNA from 1 species
GGGGUUGUGGCUCAGUGGUAGAGUGCUCACUUGGCAUGUGUAAGGCAGUGGGUUCGAUCCUCAGCACCA